AUAAUCCCUGCGGGGGAAAGAUUUAUCGCUAUUAGAUGAGCCUAUGUUAGAUUAGCUAGUUGGUAGGGUAAAGGCCUACCAAGGCGAUGAUCUAUAGCUGGUCUGAGAGGAUGAUCAGCCACACUGGAACUGAGAUACGGUCCAGACUCCUACGGGAGGCAGCAGUGGGGAAUAUUGGACAAUGGGCGCAAGCCUGAUCCAGCUAUGCCGCGUGAGUGAGGAAGGCCUUAGGGUUGUAAAACUCUUUCAGUAGGGAAGAUAAUGACGGUACCUACAGAAGAAGGCCCGGCAAACUCCGUGCCAGCAGCCGCGGUAAUACGGAGGGGGCAAGCGUUGUUCGGAAUUAUUGGGCGUAAAGGGCAUGUAGGCGGUUCGGUAAGUUAAAGGUGAAAUGCCUGGGCUUAACCCUGGAGCUGCUUUUAAUACUGCCA
rnacentral:rRNA from 1 species